CGGGGGAAUGCAGACUCCCCGUCAGACGGCUCUCCGUCCAAGUUCUGC
rnacentral:ncRNA from 1 species